CGUUGAAACACCGGCUCCCAUAUGAUCACCGAAGUUAAGCAACGUCGAACAUGCUCAGUACCUAGAUGGGUAACCAUUUGUGAAUAUUAGAUACUGUAAG